UACGUAGGGGGCAAGCGUUGUCCGGAAUUAUUGGGCGUAAAGCGCGCGCAGGCGGCUUUGUAAGUUUGGUGUUUAAUCUCAGAGCUCAACUCUGAUUCGCAUCGAAAACUGCAAGGCUUGAGUACAGAAGAGGAAAGUGGAAUUCCACGUGUAGCGGUGAAAUGCGUAGAGAUGUGGAGGAACACCAGUGGCGAAGGCGACUUUCCGGGCUGUAACUGACGCUGAGGCGCGAAAGCGUGGGGAGCAAACAGG
rnacentral:rRNA from 1 species